GAAAUAACAGAUGCAUGGUGCAUGACGCAAAAAGAUAGGCUAGGGACAAGCUCUCGACAGCAUAAUCAUCACAACGAGUAGGAUCCUACCAGCUCAGCGAUUCCGUUAGAUGUAAUCUUCGAGAUGCAUGGGUGGGCUAGUUGCGCGCUUGGGUCGUUGCAUCACGUUCACCAUGGUGCGUUGCUGGUUUGCUAUGGUGGUGCGUUGCUAGUCU
rnacentral:lncRNA from 1 species